AUAUGUAUUAUGCAUGCUGACUGAAGUAACAAUAUCUAGCUGAAGAAAAUAUAGCAGGCUCUUCACUGCUGUCAGAACCUGCACAUGUCUCUGUAGCAGUCUUCAACAGAAUUUCCAUUCAUUGCAAUGUAACCACAGGAUACACCAGAUCAAAUAUGGAUGUGAAAUAACAUCCACUAAGAUUGAAGACAUUUAAGUUAUCUGACUUAAAGAGACUGGAUGUCAUACAACUGCAUGAAGAAUAAAGAUAACAUAUAGUUCCAUACCUGGUCUGUUAAAAGUAUGGACACAGGAGAACAGAUCAACUGGAAGUACAAGUCAAACCUACAGAGCCAAAACUGGAUUGUCAUUGCAUGUAGUUGUGUGCUAAGAAACAUGCAGUGUGAAGAAGCAGCCUUGUUCUGGACCAUACAAACCAUCAGAGGUCGCUCUGCAGCAUUCCCGUGACAGGAACAAUGGAGAGGUGUAACAAGGCACAGCCUAAGAGCUGAGGGCAUGGGUCAAACAUUUAUGCACAUACAGUCCCCGACCUGCAAAUGACUUCAACUCUCAACCCUCUACACAAUUUCUCCCUGCUCUUUCACAGGGAGAGAGGACUGUGCCUUAGGAUGGCUGAAGUCAGAAUAUGGAUACAUGUAUCCUACAAAAGCAGCAUUAACAUGUGUCCAUCUAGAGGUAUAUCAGGCCUGUUUCAGGUACCAGACAGGACUUUACCAAUGGUACGAGAUGUCUAAAUGUUUUAAUGCAAUGGAAUGCCUUGAAGUUCUUCACAGGAAUUUCAUGAUUAAAUAAAAUUAGAAAUAGAUUUAUAA